UCCCCUUGUUAUUCUCAGAAUGAGUCUCAUGAGACCUGGUGGUUUAAAAGUGCAUGACACUUUCCCCUUGUGCUCUCUGUCUUUCCUGCCACCAUGAGAAGACAUAACUUGCUUCCUCCUCACUUUCCACCAUGAUUGUAAGUUUCCUGAGGCCUCCCAGUCAUGCUUCCUGUUAAUCCCGUGGAACUGUUCAUGAGUUCUGACGGAAAUAUUCCUAUUUUCCUGCUUAAUACAUACAGGAUUAUGAAAACUCUGCCAUCACAUAGUAAAUUGAAGAAUUGAACCAUUUAUCAAUAUAAUUGAAAGGAGAUUUUCUAAACGUCAACAGUACAAAAUGUCUUCAUUUUUCUGAGCAACUGACCUUCUUAGAAUCAUAAGCCCACUUUGGGAUAAUGAAUUAUAAAGUUAAAAGUCUUGUUUUUCAUUGUCUCAGUGAAAACAACUUUCAAUGAGAUUCCUCAAGUCAUCUGAACCUAAAUCUUUAUUCACCAAGUUAAAACAACAGACAAACAUGGUCUCCCCCAGUCAUUUUUCUCUUUGUAUUGCUCUCUUCUGGGAACCCAGACAUUAACCUUAAACAUUUGGUUUAGGGAAAAUCAAUCCUCUUUCUGACAUUUCUAGUUUGAAUUACCUCUGUUUUCAUUUGGCUGAAUUGUUUUUGGUUUAUAUUUAACCAAAAGUCAUGUGAAAUAGAGAAAUAAGGUAGAGUUUUUGUUAAUUUAAACGAAAGUGACUAUUUCUUCCUUCAACUUUUCUGCACUAUACUUCUUCUACAGUAGGGGUCAUAGCUAUUUUUUAAAAAUAAAUCUGUUACUCACUAAAUCUUCCCUUUGGAAUUUCUUUCAUUAGAU